CCUACGGGGGGCUGCAGUGGGGAAUAUUGGACAAUGGGCGAAAGCCUGAUCCAGCCAUGCCGCGUGAGUGAUGAAGGUCUUCGGAUCGUAAAGCUCUGUGGGAAGGGACGAAAAAGCGUGACCUAAUACGUCUCGCCUUGACGGUACCUUCUUAGCAAGCACCGGCUAACUCCGUGCCAGCAGCCGCGGUAAUACGGAGGGUGCAAACGUUGCUCGGAAUUAUUGGGCGUAAAGCGCAUGUAGGCGGUCCGCUAAGUCGGAUGUGAAAGCCCUCG
rnacentral:rRNA from 1 species